rnacentral:rRNA from 1 species
GCAAGUCGAACGAGGUAGCAAUACCGAGUGGCGGAAGGGUGAGGAACGCGUGAGUAAUCUGCCCCCUAGUGGGAAUAACAGUUGGAAACGACUGCUAAUACCGAAUGUGGCUUUCAGGUCGCAUAACCUGAAGGCUAAAGAUUUAUCGCUAGGGGAUGAGCUCGCGUCCCAUUAGCUAGUUGGUGAGGCAACGGCUCACCAAGGCGACGACUGGGUAGCCUGGUCUGAGACGGAUGGUCAGCCACACUGGGACUGAGACACUGCCCAGACUCCUACGGGAGGCUGCAGUCGAGGAAUCUUGGGCAAUGCGCGAAAGCGUGAACCCCCAGCAAUGCCGCGUGCGGGAUGAAGGUCUUCGGAUUGUAAACCGCUGUCAACCGGGACGAACACAAUGACUGUACCGGUGAAGGAAGCCACGGCUAACUACGUGCCAGCCGCGGC